rnacentral:miRNA from 1 species
AAAAGUAAUCACUGUUUUUGCC